UACAGAGGUCUCAAGCGUUGUUCGGAUUCAUUGGGCGUAAAGGGUGCGUAGGUGGCGCCGUAAGUCGGGUGUGAAAUUUCGGAGCUUAACUCCGAAACUGCAUUCGAUACUGCGGUGCUUGAGGACUGGAGAGGAGACUGGAAUUCAUGGUGCAGCAGUGAAAUGCGUAGAGAUCAUGAGGAAGACCAGUGGCGAAGGCGGGUCUCUGGACAGUUCCUGACACUGAGGCACGAAGGCCAGGGGAGCAAACGGG
rnacentral:rRNA from 1 species